GCCGAGCUCAGUAACGGGGGCUUGUAACCCAAGUGGGGGCAUUAAGGUGGUGGAAUGUUGAGCCGUCUCUGAAGGUUGGGCUUGGUGGGCUAAUUUCUGGCCUGCCCUAUCCAAGCAUAGGGUUGGGUCAUGUGGCCCAAGCGAAAGCAUGGGCUGCUUGGUCCCUAAAGUGUGGCGGACUGCGUGAGGCUGGUUUCACAGAGCAAUGAACAGCUCCCGCUCUGUGCAGUGGAAGGAUAACGGGCCGGUGCUUUCCAAGUCCAGUAACGCCUGAUGGGCUUCUCUAACUAAACCACCACCUUU
rfam:Nicotiana attenuata strain TT chromosome 9, whole genome shotgun sequence.